GUGUAUCGGACGUUUGUGCCGUUGCGUGUUUUGUGCCUUCGCAGACACAACACUCGCUCCUCUCGCCUUAAGCUCUUGCAAUAUCAACCAGUUCUAAUGUGUUUUAACGUUUGUAAUAACGCCAAAUAGUGCUUAUAUGCUGACUUAUGUUAAGCAGAAACAAUUGCCCGUUAUGAUCAAGGUUUUAGCAAUACAAUUCAAAGAAGAGUAAUAAUAAUAAACAAAUAAAAAAGAUGUGCAUACGGUGCUAACUCAAUCGCAUAUGCAUAUGUGCUCAUGUGUUAAUGUCAUAUGCAUUUACAAUAAGGGAAUCCAUGAUAAAAUUUACGCUUUAUUGACAAAAGCGCUAGUUCGUGAAAUGUCUUUUUUAACUUUAUUGAAGUAUACGUUUUAUAAAAACAAAACAAACUUGGGAUAUAUUUUGAUAAUACUGCACCAACGAAUGCGUAUGAGGAUAGAUUUUUAUUUAGCAACAAAUAUUAUAAGUUCUAUAUAAAGUGGGUAAUCUAAAUGGUUACACCGCUGACACAAAAAUCUCCCUCUACAUAUCCGAAGCCUUCGCACGAGCUCGCAUCAAUCCAUUUUAAGUAAUGUAAAAUCAAGUUCGUUGCUUAUGUUAAGUGGCUGCCGCACGUAAUGAUGGUUUUGUAUAUGCCCAUCUUCAGCUUGCUAAAAUAGAUUACAUACAGCUGGGAUAAUGGUUUAACAAUAAUUUGGUUCUAGCUUGCCGUUGGCAGAGAAAGUGAGUAUACAGUUCUUUCUUAUUUUACUCUAUGAAUAGUAUACGUACUACCAGUGAUUCUGUAAGGUUGCAGGGAUAUUGGGCUAGUUAUUAAAGUUAAUGUCGAAUUACAAUAAUUUUUAUUGAUAAACAAUACAUUAUAAACAUUAUAAUUUAUUUUGAUAAAUCUUAUCAAAAUAGAUGACAAUUGCAAAUAUACCAAAAAUAUAUUUUAUAAUAGAGUGGAACUUAUAUUAUUUAACAAUCCUAGAAAGAACAACCCCUUGAUUAUAAUCACUAAUGCUACAUUGCUUUUGAAAUACAAAGUGCAGUCCACAUGCAUUUAUAUGAGAUUUUAAUUUAGUAUCUCUGUUUUGUCGGCGGCCGCCGUAGCCGAAUGGGUUGGUGCGUGAUUACCAUUCGGAAUUCACAGAGAGGUCGUUGGUUCGAAUCUCGGUGAAAGCAAAAUUAAUAAAAACAUUUUUCUAAUAGCGGUCGCCCUCGGCAGACAAUGGCAAAUCUCCGAGUGUAUUUCUUCCAUGAAAAAGCUCCUCAUAAAAAUAUCAGCCGUUCGGAGUCGGCUUGAAACUGUAGGUCCCUCCAUUUGUGGAAAAACAUCAAGACGCACACCACAAAUAGGAGGAGGAGCUCGGCCAAACACCUAACAGAAGUGUACACGCCAAUUAUAUAUUUUUCUUUUUAUCUGUGUUUUGUCUAUUGAGCAAAAAAGCUGUAUAAAAAAGCCGUAAAAUAAAGUGAUAUUGUAUGUAUGCACAUGUUGUCAAAGCACUCAUUCUGAGCUUUCGAAAAUGUAUAUAUAAAAUUAUCUCUUUAUUGUGAAAUUAGCUCUUGGUGUAAAAUACGCUGGAUUAAGUGGAGAUACCUCAAAAAUAUCAGUUUUAACUCUUUACGUACAUGCGGUACGCAAUAAAACCCCAUCGAGGAGCAAUGUUUAGUAGUUUAAAUCGUUCUUUAGUUAAAACACAUAAAAUAGUUUUAUCCGGCUAACUUUUGUGGGUCACUCUACUGUGCGUCGCAUUGAAUAAAAAAACACACAAAAAGACGGACGUAAAAUGUAAAAAAAAAUAAUGAGUGAAUCACCGGAAGUGCGUUUGCGCGUGCGUAUCGGGAUAAGUAUGUGUGUUUGUUUACUUAGCAAAUUCGGGGUGAAUUCCUUAGGAAUAUAAGUACUACGUGAAAAUGUGACACAACAAGUUUUGUAUUUAUGCCGUCCAAUAUUACAAGUAGUAACUUGCGGCUGCAAAUGAGCGGACAUGUGCAUGCAUUGGUUUGCUGACACCAAUUGUAAUACUUACUUAUGUAUAUAACCACAUGUACACAUAUGAAAUGAGAUGUAUAGAAUAUAUGUAUGUAUAGAUUUGGCAUCCGGUGAAUGUACAGUUGCUCGUUUAAGUAAGUACGCGGUCCUUUAUGCCUUUGAACUUCGUGAAAAAAAAAAUUAUAUAUUUCCUGGGCAACAUGUCACAAUUUUACUUUAGAAUAGAGUUAUAGCCAACACUGCCUAUUCAA